rnacentral:rRNA from 1 species
UACGGAGGGUGCAAGCGUUAUCCGGAUUUACUGGGUUUAAAGGGUGCGUAGGUGGGCAGGUAAGUCAGUGGUGAAAUCCCCGGGCUUAACCCGGGAACUGCCAUUGACACUAUCUGUCUUGAAUAUCCUGGAGGUGAGCGGAAUAUGUCAUGUAGCGGUGAAAUGCUUAGAUAUGACAUAGAACACCCAUUGCGAAGGCAGCUCACUACGGGAUUAUUGACACUGAGGCACGAAAGCGUGGGGAUCAAACAGG